UCUUGGAUUAUAUAAAAUCCUUUCGAAUAUGGAUUCACUGAAUAAGCAUUAUUAAGCAUGUGAAAAGGGUCAGGGACAUUGAAAGUUCCAGAGAUGGUGAAUGGAGACAUAGGACAGUAGACCUGCUAUUCCCUUAGCAAAGGCUAAGCAGUUCAACGUUGAUUAUACUUCAAGAAUAAAUGGGGAGAGUCAAGGAGAAGGUGGAGGGUACCAACAUGGCAGCCAGCAAGGAGAUGACUGGGGAGUGAAGAAGGCCUAGAUGUGGGAGCUAUGUGGAGGAUAUAUUGGAGAUGGGAGAGACUAGCAGCAGGGAACCCAAAUAGGAGCCUGUUAGGGAAUCUCAAGAUGACAAGAUGGACGAUCUUAAAAGAAAAAAAGAAAAGCACUACAUAUAGAGUAACUAAAGCUGAAUCAACAAAGUUAGGGAUUCCUACAGAUGAUGAAAACCUUAUGAAAUAACAUCAGAGGACUUAAAUGUUUAAGAGAUUACACUCAGCAUCCACACCCUCCAAUCCUCUCCAUAAGCCAAGCACAAAUUACAUCUCACAAGCUAAUGCUUCAGGGACAAAUUAUGGGGUUUCUUAUUUGGUUCCUUUCUAGCAAUAAUGGACUAAAUCUCCUGUUUCCCUCCUCCCCACAAGAGAUGGAAGGCAUAGAUUCUGACUAUCCAAAGAAAGGAUAAAUUCAACAGGGCAGGAGAAAAAGCUUAUCUGUCCAAAUAAAAGACUGGAAACCUGGAUCAGCCAAUUCUUGCCCCCAGAAGUUUACUCUAGGCAGGGACACUGGUCACAUUCUUGUGUUCCCCAAAAAUGGAAGAGGAAGAUAUCAAUGAAAAAGGGAAAUCAACAUUAAGCACCUACUAUAUACCAAGAACUGUGCCAAGCACUAGAAAUACAAAAAGAGACAAAAGACCCCCACCCACAAGGAGUUCACGAUCUGAUAGGGUA